UCUUACUACAUUAGCUAGGAUUUCCAGUAUGAUGUUGAAAAGCAGUGGUGAGGAGGGAUAUCCUUGCCUGGUAUCUGAUGUUAUCAGGAAAGCUUUAAGUUUCUCAUCAUAUUAGCUGUAGGUUCUUUAUCAAGUUGAAGAAUUUUCUCUCUAUUCCUACUUUUCUAAUAGUGGUGUUUGCUCGUUUGUUUUUUAAUAUGUAGUUAACAUAGCUGGACUCACACUCCAAAAUCUGUUUUCCCCGUAGAGGGCAGCAGCUAAAUUUCUGUUCAAAUCUUUUGGCCUUAUCUGGGCCCCUUUAAUCUGUCAUGUGCAAGUAGAGUUCAGGUUUCAACUAUGAUCUGAGCAGAGAAUUUGGAACUCUCCCUUUCUGGAUCUCUCUUUUAAGAGAUUUUUUCUCUUUCUUUCCAGCUGCAGUGAUCACCCUAAACUUGGUGCUUUGUUUCUUGUUUCUUUAAGCCAGUAUGACUGUGGGUUUCCAUCCAAGUUUUAGCUCCUUUACUGGAGACUGCCUGUUAAAAAUCACCUGAUAAAAUAACCUGUUACUAUCUCCUUCAAGUUCUGACUUCUCUCCAGCUUCUACCUGACUUUUGUCAUUCUCCAGCUUAUUUAGGUCGUUGUUUUUUUUAAGCAGUUUUUAAAAUCAUGAUGUAUAUUUGAAUGAUAACGUUGAUGCUAGUGCAGAGAAUUGGGCUUAGCAAACAAAAGAUUGGAUGCAGGAAGCCCCAAGUAACAGACUGAUGAUUUCCUGAAAUGGGACAAUAAUCAUAAGAAUGGAGAAGGCCAAAAAAAUGAGAACAUCUACAAGCUCAUAUUGGCGAGCUUUGUGACUCUGAGCUACCACAUUUGACCCAUCUAAAAUUUUCUUCGUUGUAUAGAAAGGAUCAGAAAAGAGGUUGAAGAAGUAGCAGCCAUUAUUAUUAAUUGCUUGUCACCUAACAUUCAUAAAUGAUGCAAAAGUAAAGAGAAUUACCUGUAACUUUAAGCAAAAAUACUCUUGUCUUGUUUCUCUUCAUUUCACAGAAAAUAAAUUCAGGCAUCUCCUGAAGUACCAUUGAUGUUCAAUUGCAGAGUUGUAUUAUAUCAAGUAGGAAUUUUAUCAGCUACUGGCAAUAAAAGCCUGACUACAGUGGCUUAAAUACCUAAGAGUUUAUCAUUUUACGUGUAAGAAACACAAAAGUGGGCUAUCCACACUGGUACGAAGUUCUACAACGACAACGGGAAUCCUUUCUUAAUACAUGGUUUCCAUCCUCAAGAGCACAAGAUGGCCACUAGAAUUGCAACUGUCAUAUGUUAUUAAUUCAGGAAGGAAUAAGUAGAAGGGCGAGGAGCAGAAAAACUCAUCCAAGCUUUCUGUUAAUAAGUCUUCUAAUAAAUCCCAGCCUAUGACUUCUGCCUAUAUCUCUUUGACCAGUUACAUGGUCAUUCCUACCUAUAAAGGAGGCUGGGAAGUACUUUUUUUUAAAGCUAGGACAAUUGGUACCCUGAAUCAAAUUGAGAUUAUGUUACUAAGGAUAAAGAGGAAAGUGGAUAUUGAAUAAGCAACCAGCUGUCUCUGCCACAUGUACAAAAUGAUUUUGUUGGAGCUCUCUCAACCAACUUAAGUCAAAAAACAAAAAAAAAAAGCAUUGACCCAGAUUAGCAAACUGUUAUCUCUGUACAGGCAUACCCAAUCUAGGUACUCAAAUGAUCUUUGGGAAAUUUUACUUCCUUUUACCUCUCACUUUUGCUUUUAUCUGGAUUGGAAACAGGCUUAGAUGUGCUCUCCCCUCAUAAUGACAAGAUAGCUACUAGAAAGACUAAGCUUACAUUUUCUCAGUUAAGCAAUCCCAGAUGAAGGAGAUCACCUGUUUCUUAAUAAUUUUAGAAUGAGUCAUAAGAGGGACUCAUGGUCCUUGGUAUCACUUGCCUAUUCCUACAAUCAUUGUAGACAGGGCGUGUGCUCUCUGAUUGGCCAGAUCUGCAUCAAGGACCCCAUCUUCCUGGGUCAGUCCCGACUAAACCAUAUGAACUGAGUUGGAGGAGGCAUGUUUCCCUAACCUAAACUCAAUUCCAGCGAAAAGGUGAUUGGGUACCAUGCAAGCAAAUACAGCAGACCUUGUGCAGAGGGCAAAAACUUUGAAGGAAAAAAUUAAUUUAUGCACUUCCAGUCUAGAAAUGAAAAGAUAAAAUAGGCAAAACAAUGGUAAUCUAUAAAUCCCUUGCAUAAUUCCUAUUGUCUUCAAUAAUAUUCAAUAAUACAAUGUCUAUAGGAUGAAAGUUUACCACAAGCCAAGGCUGGUAAUAUUUUGAGCAUUAUGAAAAGCUUUUAUAAUUCUAAAGCAACUAUGAAAAUACCAAGGAGAAGAUUUUCAUAAGUAUGCUAUUUAUAGGAAUAUUUAAUUGUGGUAACUCCCUUAAUACCUAAAUCAUGGAGAUUCAAAGUGAUGUACAAUCAUAAAUUAAUCCUCUCAACACUCCAUAAUGAAAAAGAUUAUGAGGAGAAUAAGGCACAAAGGAAUGACGGGUUUUUUCCCAAGUUCACGAAUUGAAUCAGCAGCCAACCAAAGCUGCUGACUCGCAAAAUAUAUGACUCAUUCUGCUCAACAUUUCCACACCUUAUUUUAGCUUAUCACAACUAUUGGUCUUUAGGGGCAUUUGUUCGUAAGUGAUUGGCAGAAAAUGAAAAUGGCCGUAUGUUUGCAGCUUAGCAUCAUCUGCCCUAGGGGAAUAAUAAACAAAAGAGGAGAGCACGAAUACUCAAAUGAAAAAAGCAAAUAGGGCACAGUGAAAAAUCUAUGGACAAAAUUUGCCAGUAGCUAAAAAUAACUGAGUGGAGUAUAAAUUGGGGUAUCAGAACUCUCAGUAUUUGGUAUGACAGUGAGUACACUUAGAAAGGUUUUUUAUUUUGUUUUCUUUUAACAUAAUAUCAUACUUAUAGAAAAGUUUCAAAAGUAGUACAGAGAAUUCUGGAAUACACGCCACCCAGAUUCCUCAAAUGUUAACUUUUAUUGUACUCACAACCUUCUUCAUUCCCUCUCUCUCUCUCUCUCUCUCUCUCUCUCUCUCUUGUGUGUGCACGCGUGCAUCCAAGCAUGCUUGCACAUACCCACCCACAACCAUACCCCCAACACACAAACCUCUGAAUCCUUUAAGAGUAAGUUUCAGAUACAAUGCUUCUUUCCUGCUAUAUACUUCAGUGUGUAUUUCCUAAAACCAAGAACAUCUUAUAUAGCCACAGUACAAUUUUCAAAACUAGGAAAUUAAUACUGAUAUAACACUAUUAUUUACUAUACACUCCUUAUUCAGAUUUCACUAAUUGUCCAGUAAUGUCAAUUAUAGCAAAAGAAAUUUAAGAUCAUGCAUCACAUUCAGUUGUCAUAUCUUUUUACUUUCCUUCAGCAUGGAAGUCCCGAGAUGUUCUUUGUAUUUUAUGAAGCAGAUAUUUUUGAAGAGUACAGGACAAGGAUUUUGUAGAGUGCCCUUCAAAUUAAGGCAUGAAUAAGUGCCGGUGUGUAGCCAAGUAGGACCAUUAAAGCUGCCCUGAUGUUAAGAACCUAGCAGAACGGGAGACUGGAGCAGCCACACCCUGAGGGAUAUAGCCCCCAUCAAAUAAUUGACUGACAAGAGACACAAAAGCUGGCUGCCUUCCCGCAAGAUGAGAAAAGAAUUUCCCAUGGGACUGGACUGAAGCUAGCAUCCCAGUGAGAUUACAUC